UACAGAGGGGGCAAGCGUUGUUCGGAAUUACUGGGCGUAAAGGGCGCGUAGGCGGCCUUCUAAGUCGAACGUGAAAUCCCCGGGCUCAACCCGGGAACUGCGUCCGAUACUGGAAGGCUUGAAUCCGGGAGAGGGAUGCGGAAUUCCAGGUGUAGCGGUGAAAUGCGUAGAUAUCUGGAGGAAUACCGGUGGCGAAGGCGGCAUCCUGGACCGAGAUUGACACUAAAGCGCGAAAGCCAGGGGAGCAAACGGG
rnacentral:rRNA from 1 species